GGUGGCUCAGUGGGUAGAGUGCUUGCCUAGCAUGCAGGAAGCCCUGGGUUCAAUUCCUCAGUACCA
rfam:Dipodomys ordii contig_44228, whole genome shotgun sequence.